rnacentral:rRNA from 1 species
AGGAUGAACGCUGGCGGUAUGCCUUACACAUGCAAGUCGUACGAGAGUUUUUAACUCAAGUGGCGGACGGGUGAGUAACACGUAAGAAUUUGCCUUUAGGAGGGGGAUAACAACUGGAAACGAUGGCUAAUACCGGAUAAGCCGAGAGGUAAAAGAUUAAUUGCCUAGGGAAGAGCUCGCGUCUGAUUAGCUAGUUGGUGAGGUAAAGGCUCACCAAGGCAUCGAUCAGUAGCUGGUCUGAGAGGAUGAUCAGCCACACUGGGACUGAGACACGGCCCAGACUCCUACGGGAGGCAGCAGUGGGGAAUUUUCCGCAAUGGGCGAAAGCCUGACGGAGCAAGACCGCGUGAGGGAGGAAGGCUCUUGGGUUGUAAACCUCUUUUCUUGGGGAAGAACAAAUGACGGUACCCAAGGAAUCAGCAUCGGCUAACUCCGUGCCAGCAGCCGC